rnacentral:rRNA from 1 species
UACGAAUGGGGCAAGCGUUGUUCGGAAUCACUGGGCUUAAAGCGUGCGCAGGCGGUCUCGCCAGUCAGAAGUGAAAGCCCCGGGCUUAACCCGGGAAUUGCUUUUGAAACUACGAGACUAGAAUAUGGGAGAGGUUAGCAGAAUUCCGAGUGUAGAGGUGAAAUUCGCAGAUAUUCGGAGGAAUACCAGUGGCGAAGGCGGCUAACUGGACCAUUAUUGACGCUCAGGCACGAAAGCGUGGGGAGCAAACGAGGA